rnacentral:rRNA from 1 species
AAUCAACGCUGGCGGCGUGCCUCAGACAUGCAAGUCGAACGAGAAAGUCCCCUUCGGGGGAUAAGUAAAGUGGCGCACGGGUGAGUAACACGUAGGUAAUCUACCUUCGGGUGGGGAAUAACCCAGGGAAACUUGGGCUAACACCGCAUAAUGCAGCGGCACCACAUGGUGACAGUUGUUAAAGCGGGGGAUUUUAGGACCUCGCGCCUGAAGAGGAGCCUGCGGCGGAUUAGCUAGUUGGUGAGGUAACGGCUCACCAAGGUAACGAUCCGUAGCCGGCCUGAGAGGGCGGUCGGCCACACUGACACUGACAUACGGGUCAGACUCCUACGGGAGGCAGCAGUCGGGAAUUUUGGGCAAUGGGCGAAAGCCUGACCCAGCAACGCCGCGUGAAGGAUGAAAUCCCUCGGGAUGUAAACUUCGCAAGAAUGGGAAGAAUUAGUAGGGGUUAAUACCCCCUAUGAUGACGGUACCAUUUGUAAGCUCCGGCUAACUCCGUGCCA